AGGAAGUAAAAGUCGUAACAAGGUCUCCGUUGGUGAACCAGCGGAGGGAUCAUUACUGAGUUUACGCUCUACAACCCUUUGUGAACAUACCUACAACUGUUGCUUCGGCGGGUAGGGUCUCCGCGACCCUCCCGGCCUCCCGCCUCCGGGCGGGUCGGCGCCCGCCGGAGGAUAACCAAACUCUGAUUUAACGACGUUUCUUCUGAGUGGUACAAGCAAAUAAUCAAAACUUUUAACAACGGAUCUCUUGGUUCUGGCAUCGAUGAAGAACGCAGCGAAAUGCGAUAAGUAAUGUGAAUUGCAGAAUUCAGUGAAUCAUCGAAUCUUUGAACGCACAUUGCGCCCGCCAGCAUUCUGGCGGGCAUGCCUGUUCGAGCGUCAUUUCAACCCUCAAGCUCUGCUUGGUGUUGGGGCCCUACAGCCGAUGUAGGCCCUCAAAGGUAGUGGCGGACCCUCCCGGAGCCUCCUUUGCGUAGUAACUUUACGUCUCGCACUGGGAUCCGGAGGGACUCUUGCCGUAAAACCCCCCAAUUUUCCAAAGGUUGACCUCGGAUCAGGUAGGAAUACCCGCUGAACUUAAGCAUA
rnacentral:rRNA from 1 species